rnacentral:miRNA from 1 species
ACAUGAUUUGAAUAACCGUGGAGUGUGGAUAACCGUGUGUGUGUGUAUAUACACACACACACACACACACGGUUAUCCGCACUCCACGGUUAUUCAAA